UGCCACUCUUAACGGGGUGGCUUUUCAGAAGUGUAAAAAGCUUCUGGAAUAAGGGCUGGGCAAGACCGGUGCCAGCCGCCGCGGUAACACCGGCAGCUCGAGUGGUAGCCGCUUUUAUUGGGCCUAAAGCGUCCGUAGCCGGUCUGAUAAGUCUCUGGUGAAAUCCCACAGCUUAACUGUGGGAAUUGCUGGAGAUACUAUCAUGACUCGAGGUCGGGAGAGGCUGGAGGUACUCCCAGGGUAGGGGUGAAAUCCUGUAAUCCUGGGAGGACCACCUGUGGCGAAGGCGUCCAGCUGGAACGAACCUGACGGUGAGGGACGAAAGCCAGGGGCGCGAACCGGAUUAGAUACCCGGGUAGUCCUGGCCGUAAACGAUGUGGACUUGGUGUUGAGAUGGCUUCGAGCUGCCCCAGUGCCGAAGGGAAGCUGUUAAGUCCACCGCCUGGGAAGUACGGCCGCA
rnacentral:rRNA from 1 species